GCCCAAGCAUUGGAGUUCUCAGAAGUUUCAAAGCCUGCAGUGGUUGAUACCCGCAUCGGGAGGGUCAUAUAGCUUCCAUCAAAUCAGACGAGAGGUACUAUGGGGUAAUGAUCUGUGAACAAACCAAUAAUGUAACAUGUUAAAGUAUCGUUCUUCCUGUGUUGACCCAUGCUUUGCAUGUUUGGAGGGUAAAUCUUAGCCGCAAAUCUUUUUUUUUAUAUGUCACUCGUUGGCUCGUUCACUGACUCUUAAAACGUGCUAAUUGGAAUCCAACACGUCUAGAGGAUGGAGGAGAAGGAGAUACGGAUGAUGAGGGUGGGGAGAAGGAUGAAGAAGAAGGUGAUGUCAGUGAUGGAUGAGGAAGAGGGAGAUGUGCCGGAGGAAGGGGAGAGACAGGAGGCACAUAGGGGGUAUCGGAAAGAAGAAAAAAAAAGAUCGUCCAUAGAAAAGCUCGAGGAGGGAGGGCGGGUAGUAAGAACGAG
rnacentral:lncRNA from 1 species